rnacentral:rRNA from 1 species
CAAGUCGAGCGGUAACAGAAAGUAGCUUGCUACUUUGCUGACGAGCGGCGGACGGGUGAGUAAUGCUUGGGAACAUGCCUUGAGGUGGGGGACAACAGUUGGAAACGACUGCUAAUACCGCAUAAUGUCUACGGACCAAAGGGGGCUUCGGCUCUCGCCUUUAGAUUGGCCCAAGUGGGAUUAGCUAGUUGGUGAGGUAAUGGCUCACCAAGGCAACGAUCCCUAGCUGGUUUGAGAGGAUGAUCAGCCACACUGGAACUGAGACACGGUCCAGACUCCUACGGGAGGCAGCAGUGGGGAAUAUUGCACAAUGGGCGAAAGCCUGAUGCAGCCAUGCCGCGUGUGUGAAGAAGGCCUUCGGGUUGUAAAGCACUUUCAGUCAGGAGGAAAGGGUGUGAGUUAAUACCUCAUAUCUGUGACGUUACUGACAGAAGAAGCACCGGCUAACUCCGUGCCAGCAGCCGCGGUAAUACGGAGGGUGCGAGCGUUAAUCGGAAUUACUGGGCGUAAAGCGUACGCAGGCGGUUUGUUAAGCGAGAUGUGAAAGCCCCGGGCUCAACCUGGGAACUGCAUUUCGAACUGGCAAACUAGAGUGUGAUAGAGGGUGGUAGAAUUUCAGGUGUAGCGGUGAAAUGCGUAGAGAUCUGAAGGAAUACCGAUGGCGAAGGCAGCCACCUGGGUCAACACUGACGCUCAUGUACGAAAGCGUGGGGAGCAAACGGGAUUAGAUACCCCGGUAGUCCACGCCGUAAACGAUGUCUACUAGAAGCUCGGAACCUCGGUUCUGUUUUUCAAAGCUAACGCAUUAAGUAGACCGCCUGGGGAGUACGGCCGCAAGGUUAAAACUCAAAUGAAUUGACGGGGGCCCGCACAAGCGGUGAGCAUGUGUUUAAUUCGAUGCAACGCGAAGAAUCUUACCUACACUUGACAUACAGAGAACUUUCUAGAGAUAGAUUGUGACUUCGGGAGCUCUGAUACAGGUGCUGCAUGCUGUCGUCAGCUCGUGUGUGAGAUGUUGGUUAAGUCCGCAACGAGCGCAACCCCUAUCCUUAGUUGCUAGCAGGUAAUGCUGAAACUCUAAGGAGACUGGCGGGUGUAUAAACCGGAAGAAAGGGUGGGGAAAAACCUCCAAGUCAUCUUUGGGCCCUUUACUGUGUGGGAGCUACCACAACAGUGUGUGCAUAUGUGUGGGCGG